GGCGAGGGGAGUGAAAAAGAACCUGAAACCGUGUACGUACAAGCAGUGGGAGCACAGGUUUACCUGUGUGACUGCGUACCUUUUGUAUAAUGGGUCAGCGACUUAUAUUCUGUAGCAAGGUUAACCGUAUAGGGGAGCCGCAGGGAAACCGAGUCUUAAUUGGGCGUUAAGUUGCAGGGUAUAGACCCGAAACCCGGUGAUCUAGCCAUGGGCAGGUUGAAGGUUGGGUAACACUAACUGGAGGACCGAACCGACUAAUGUUGAAAAAUUAGCGGAUGACCUGUGGCU
rnacentral:rRNA from 1 species